UACGGAGGGUGCAAGCGUUAUCCGGAUUCACUGGGUUUAAAGGGUGCGUAGGUGGGUUGGUAAGUCAGUGGUGAAAUCUCCAGGCUCAACUUGGAAACUGCCAUUGAUACUAUUAAUCUUGAAUACCGUGGAGGUCAGCGGAAUAUGUCAUGUAGCGGUGAAAAUGCUUAGAUAUGACAUAGAACACCAAUUGCGAAAGGCAGCUGGCUACACGAAUAUUGACACUGAUGCACGAAA
rnacentral:rRNA from 1 species